AUAUUUCUUCACAAACAUGCAGAAGUUUUAUAUAGAAUAUCUCUAAUGAUUUAAUAGAAGUUUAACAUUAUGGCGAGCAGUUUAUUUCUGUCCAACUAUUCAGGAGCAGUUAUUCAACUCUUAGGUUUUUGGAACCUGUUCCUAAAACUACAAUCCUACUCCCUUCUCGACUUAUUUCUUUUUGUGGAAAAAGCUGGCACUAGCAGCCUAGCAUAAAACUUCAUACUGUUACCAUAGAUUCAGAGAUUUGUCAUGAUUACUGUGUAGGAUACCAUACCGAGUCCUUACUCUAUAGACUAGUCCAGGUUUUCAGUGUCGAGAUUACUUAAAUAUUACACUAAUACCCAAUGUUACAUCUUAGAUCUUACAUGUUAGUGGGUUAUAAUGUCAGAUCCAAAUUACAACAAAUCAUGUCUCAUCUUAUUUUAGUUGGAUUCCACUCUACAAGGAUUAUCCUUUGAAGUUUGGAGUUAUUCUUACCACUGGAACAGCAGGAUACAGCCGAAGUGUCUCGGUUAAGGUAGCAUGGAGGCAACCUUAUCCUGCACCACGGGGUUCUUGCAGAGCAUGUAGAAGAACCAUGAAAGGGUAUUUGCCGUGGUGUCUUUCCCAGCAAUCAGGAAGCUGAGGACUAUGUCACGCAGGGGUUGUUGUCUUGUAUCUUUGGAAUUCACUAAGCAGAAGGCAUCCAACAGAGCAGUGACAUGGCUGGUUCCGCGAGCAUGAGUUCAGAAAAUUGGAUAGUGAAACUAAAAUUAUUUUUCAGUGGAUUGGCGGUCAUGGAGGUUGUAACUUGAUAGCAACAUCUGCAGGACAUAGCAGUUAGACUCAUCUGUUUGUACUCAGCAAAUUGGAUAGUGAACCUAAAAUUAUUGCUCUGGGAAACAGUUAUUCAAUUAAUCCAGCAUUCAAAACGUAAAACUUUGGGAUUGACAUCACAUUAGUCUAUGACUACUCAUCGGGGAUCGAAUUCUGGUAUUCACAUUUACAUGCACUGACACAAUGUUUCAAGGUGGAAGCUUCCUGGUAUUCAUGGAUAUUUCUCUGGUUUCCUUCAAUUAAUUCACUCUCUUUCUUGCAAAGUUAAAUAAUAUCAGUAGUCUGACUAACCUGAAUGUAAAUUCAAAUUUAAUUCUCUACCUGGUGACAGUAACAUUUUACAACAUUUCGAAAAGAGUACUGUUCUUUUGUUCAUAACGUGCAUAUUUCAGUACAGCAACACAGGAUCUAGUAGCUUGGAUGUUCAAGCUGAAACUUUAAGGGGGUACGCAAAUAGAUGGAGGCCUUUAUCCAUGUGGAGAGUAAACAUUGGUUUGUAUGUUGGACCCUUGGAUUCAUCUUCCAGUUUGAACCUGAAGAAAUGUAACAGGGCAGCAGCCACGAUUUUCAUCUGCCUGUGUGCAAAUUCUUUCCCCAAGCAGAUACGGGGUCCGGCCUGAUCAUUGGAAGAAGAAUUGUUAAAUGAAAAUGUCUGUCUAAAGUAAGGAAAUGAAUCCAUUGUUGUUCUCAUCAAAAGGUCCUGAGGAAAUGUUAAUUGCAUGACUUGAUUUACAAUGGAAAGGGUAGACAUUAGGAGAACUACUAGGCUGGUCUCUGAAUUAUGCAGUUGAGCUUGUUCAAGUCAACCAGCUUUUGUAACAAGCAUGCUACCUCAACUUCAAACUCAGAUUCAAAUUAAUCCUUAUUUUUAUUUGCUGACUCAGAAAUCUGAGUUAUACAUAGACCAAUUCAGAAGUUUUUAGUGAAACCAUGUUUGCUCCACUUUCUUUGCCCAGAAUAGCUGGAUAAAUUUGGGUUUAGCUGUUUAGGUGUAGGAUUUGUUUUUCUUCUCUCUUUUAUAAAUUAGACAAGCAUAGACUAAACUACUAAAGCUACAAAUAUGAUCUUAGCACUUGUAGUACAGUCUUUUAUAUUGAUGAUGAUAAUCAUGGAAGUACCUGCAUGUUUAUGGUAAUUCUACUAGCAGCUGCAGAUGAGAUCUUCUCUGACAGUUUUGCAGCAUUCAUUCUGAAAACAGUACUGCUGAAAUCGCGUAGCACUUUGGUUGAGAAUUCAUGGCUUGCUAGCUUCCUCUGGUGUCGCCACUUCUCCCCAUCCGUUGCAAAAAUUCCAUUCCCAAAGAGAUUGUUCGCUAUUUCAGUGUUGAACGCUCCCUGUGAAAUAGGAUCCAACAUCAUUCUGUACAGUUUUUUUGCUUCAUUUUGUACACUUAGUUUAUUCAAUAUAACCUCUUUUUUCAAAUUUAAAUUAUAUGAUUAUUCUGACUAACCCGUAUGUAAAUUCAAGGUUAGUCUUCUACCUUACGCAGAAAAUUUUCUACCUGGUGACGUUCAUUUGAUUUAUUUACAUGGCAUUAUGUUGUACAGUUUUAGCUUUCAGUUAAAUUAGGAUUGCUCUGUUUAUUGGAGGAUGAACUGUUGGACCACUAGAUUAUUUUCUGUGUCAACUUAAUAUCUGUCAACAGAAAAUGAAGGUUGCCUAAUUACAAUGUUGCCUUGAAAAAACAGUUAUUGGAUCAGAUCAUAGCAUAUUGCAUAUACUUAACAUUUAACAUGUUAGUCAAGUUUGAACUUUUGACCAUCCUCUGUAUAAAUCUACCAUGAUCUAAACAUGUGACAUACAGCAUGAUGUAUUACCAUGUCACUCAGUGAGAAAGUUAGUGAGCAACAAAGAUGAUCAGCAAGAAAAAUCACCUUGCUGUAGUUACUAAAGUUUGUCUUGAGGACAUGCUCGAUGACUCGGCAGGGUCGGCUGUUAAGAUCUCACUGUGUCUGGGGUAGACUAGCCUGGUGGUGGGGUGCUUAAGCGCAUACUUCACAUGCUCGUCAAAGAUCCUGUCAAAGUUUUUGAGCUGGCGGAACACGGUCCCGAUGAGCGGUGGCCGGUCCUGUGCUCUAUUAGCGAACUCUCUGAUGCAGAAGACGGCAAAAGAUAAGACAACGCCGAGAAUGUAUAGGGUGAUGACCAGCAGGGCUAUGGCAAAAGCUGAAACUAAGCAUAUCAUUGUGGAUGCAACAAGGGAGAAGAGCUGGGAAGCCAUCAGAGUUAGCUGCUGCUGUCUGCUGAAAGUAGCUUACCAUAUCCUUCCUAUAUAUAGUCUACGUACGCAACCACAAUAUUUGUUUCAGCCCGUCUUAGACUAGAACAGCAACAUAAUGUUUCUAUACUUCAGGGUUUCUGGACAGGACAGUCUUGUGUCUUGGAAAAUGGACAACCCUGUAUUCAAACUAUCCAGACAGCUCAGAAGAAUGUCGCCUGCAUGCUAAACGAGCAUCAAGCGCAAAAUUGAUAUCCGCAAAUUCUGAAUUUGGAAUUGGACGGAAUUUAUCCAGAAUAGCUGUGUAUAUAUGUCACUGACUCAUGGCCCCCAGUGCUUGCUAGUCAGCCUCGCGUAUAAUAACUUUUUUUUCUUUGAUAAUUUUGUGAUAGAAAUGCACGCACAUCAUUGUUGAAUCUUUGGGACUGACUUCCUUGGCUUGCUAGGUACCAGCAAAACAGAAGAGAAGCCUGGUAGAAGCAGUGACAUAGCUGCCGGAGGUUGAGUUCCUGCCAACCCUGCCCACUGCCGUCGCCCCUAGGUCUCCACGCUCGGCCAAUUCCUUCUCUGCCUCUUCACCAGCGAAGGAACGCGGCGGACGGGUGGAUAUAGAUUGGAUGGAUAUGUUCAGCUGUGGAAGCGGUGAGCCGCCGGAGUUUGAAUUCUUGCCAUCACCGCCCGCCGCUGUCGCCCCUAGGUCUGCACGGCCUACUGAAUCCUUCUGUGUCUCUUCCCAUGCGAAUCCAGUGAAGAAACACGGCGGACGGGUGGAUAUAGAUUGGAUGGUAUGUUCAAUUGUGGAAGCGCUGAGCCGCCGGAGUUCGUAUUCUUGCCAUCACCGCCCUCUGCUGUCGCCCCUAGGUCUGCACGGCCUGCUGAAUCUUUCUGCGUCUCUUCCCAUGCGAAUCCAGUGAAGAAACACGGAGCACGGGUGGAUAUAGAUUGGAUGGAGAUGUUUAAUGGUGGAAGCACUGAGCUGCCAGAGGUCGAUUUCUCGUCCCCUGCCCGCUGUCGUCGCCCCUAAGUCUGCACGGCCCGCUGUUUCCUUGUGCGGCUCUUCGCCGGCGAAUCCAGUGAAGAAACACAGCCCACUGGAUAUAGACUGGACUGCGAUGUUCGAGACUGGAAGCACCAAGCUGCUGGAGACCAAUCUCUCACCACCGGCACUCGAGGUCAUCCUGCCAAGGUCUGCACGCUCUCACCCUUACUAGCCUGCUUACAUGUUUGUUCUUUCUUCUCAAUGCAUUGUUUGUUUCUAAGUACGAGUUGGUUAAUUUGGUCGUUCUUCUCCGUGCAAGUUUGUAGAGUGGAUCCGAAUUAACUAGAAUAAUCAACUGACCAAUCAGUAGUCAUCUCAUGUUCCUAUGUACGAUGUUUAAUUUGGUCUCGCUAUGGCCAUGAAUAUGGUGCAUGCUGCCCUUCCUGCUUCUGAUAUGAUAUGUCGAACAAUGCUCAGGUGGAGUGCAAAAGUGUGGAACUAUGGGCUUAUUAUAGGGAGACUAUAGGCCAGUUCUUUUUAGCUUUCUGAACCGGCUUCUCCAAGAAGCUGCCCUGCCCCAGCUUCCUGGAGAAGCUGCCAUCUAAAUUUGAUUACGUUAUCAAACUAGGUUGGCCUAAACUAGUUUGGAGGGCAGCUUAUAGGAGAAGCCGGUUCUAGAAGCUGAAAAGAACGCAGCCUAUGAAUGUUGGGUUAAUAUAAAUUGAUGCAAUUAUUAAUGACAUGAUACUUUGCACGAUAAAGAUGGAACGCAAUGUGGCAUAUGUAUGUUAUGAAAAUGAUAUAUUCAUCAACUUAAUGUUAUUUGUUUUGACUUUUGAUGAUAUACUCUACAAAGUACAAAGCACCCUCUCUGGCAUGAUUUGGAAAUAUUGAUAUAUGUGUGGCUUACCCUCUACCCUCGGCACUUGACCCGCACAGUUGCCUAGCCUAACCGUUGCAGGUUUGUUGAGUAGAUGUGGUUUUCUGUCUCUAGUUCUUACUGCUUUCUCCGGCGAGGCGACAGAACUCUUGAUUGCAUAUAUUGUUCUUGCCAGUCCAAAGUCAUUAACAUCUGUACUCACUGCUAUCCCAAAAUAUCGUAUCUAUGACCAUGUCACUUCAUUGCUCUUGCUCCUCUAAUUAAACAAUUUCUCUCUUUCCUCCUGUGUUCCUUUCAGUUCACUAUAGUUAUUGACUAAUUUGAAGUCUCGCCUAGUCCUGGUCCAGCUCUUCUCCUGACCGUGUAUACAUCAUUAAUGUCUUCUAGAACCUGAUACAUAACCCUGAACUACUUUUCUUGCUUGCAACCCAUGCUAUUUAUUUUGCAGAUAACAUCAACAAUAUUUUUGGGACAAAGAUUACUUUGGUUCACACAAUGGUAUCGUGAUGUUAGUUUCUCUGUCCUGACUUCAAGAUUCAAAAUUUCUAUCUUGAUCACACUAAUUUGCCUUAGCUUAGUUAACAAAAUUGGUUGCAACGCACUUGAAGGGCAACAAAAUAUUACCUUCAAAUUAUAUAUGGUGAUAUCGUGAAUGUGACUCAAUGGGGGUUUUGGGCAGGUUGUCGCGAUUGCAUUGUCAAUGUUACAUCUUAGAUCUUACAUGUAAGUGGGUAUAUGAUGUCAGAUCCAAAUUACAACAAAUCAUGUCUCGCUUAUUUUAGUUGGAUUCCACUCUCUACAAGGAUUAUCCUUUGAAGUUUAGAGUUGUUCUUACCACUGGAACAGCAGGAUAUAGCCAAAGUGCCUCAGUUAACGUAGCAUGGAGAUUGUGCAUCUUGUCAAUGGCAACUUAUCCUGCACUACGGGGUUCUUACAGAGCAUGUAGAAGAACAAUGAAAGGGUAUUUGCCAUGGUGUCUUUCCCAGCAAUCAGAAAGAUGAGGACUAUGUCAAGCAGGUAAAGAUCAUUCAUCGUCUCAGAGUCCUCCUCACUUGCAGAUAACAAUUAACAAUAUUUUUGGAGCAAAGAUUACUUAGGUGCACACAACGGAAUCUUGAUGUUUAGUUUCUCUGUCCUGACUUGAAGAUUGGAAAUUUCUCUCUUGAUGGAACUAAUUUGCCUUAGCUUAGUUAACAAAAUUGGUUGCAACUCACUCGAAGGGCAACAAAAUAUUACUCCCUCCGUUUCAUAAUUCUUGUCUCAAAUUUGCCAAAAAAUGGAUGUAUCUAUUCCUAAAAAGUGUCUACAUAUAUGUAAUAUUUCGACAAGAAUUAUAAAACGGAGGGAGUACCUUCAAAUUAUUUGUUGGUAUUGUGAAUGUGACAGAAUGGGGCUUUUGGGCAGGUUGCCGCGAUUGCAUUAUUUGUUGGUAUUGUGAAUGUGACAGAAUGGGGCUUCUGGGCAGGUUGCCACGAUUGCAUUGUCAAUGUUACAUCUUAGAUAUUACAUUACUGGGCAGGUCUGCAGAGUCAUCAGCACCGUCAGCAAGAGAUGAGGGAUGGAGCGACUUGCCUCAUGCACUUGACUGUGCUGCUGCUACGAAGAAUUCGAGGAGCCUGCUCAGUUUGCACCUGAGCAGUUCAGUUUGCAGAGGAUAGGUCCUCUGCUUUACUUCCCUGUAAGCACUGAAUUGUUAUGUUUCCUUUCUUGGAAUGGAAAAUGGAUGGUAGCCCUAAUUCGGAAAAGAGUUGGAUUCCACUCUACAAGGAUUAUCCUUUGAAGUUUGGAGUUAUUCUAGAGACUCUCAUAGAGAUAAGAGUUUAGUAGCCCUUACGUGAUCACUUCCAUUCUUCAUUUUCCCACUCUUUUGAUGGAUCAACUGCAUCACAAAGUUGUCGAUUAUCUGAAAUCUGAAUUCUCCUCU